UAAGUUGUUGACUGAUUGGAUUUUAAAUCACACAGAAUUGUUUUCUAUAUAUUUGUUUUUGGUCUUUGUUAAUUAUUACAAUAAGUUCUGCCCAGUGGGUAGAAUAAAUGUCAAGUCAUUCAUGUCACUGCUGAUCUCUUUACUGUACACCUGUUGUGUAACAAAUAUAAAACUCACUUUUACAACUGGGUGUACGGCAGAAAACAGACUGUUAAAGUUGUCACUUUAUCACACCUGCUAACUCCCUGUCAGCACAGUAUGAUAUGUGCUCAGUUGCAGAACAUCCUACUGGAUCAGCAUUAUGUAAAAGUUGGGUUCUCCAUAAUACAGUGUAAUCAUGUUUUGUAUUGUUGUAAAGCCGUUGUUAUGGGAACAAGUUGGUGACUUGGGUGCUGUGGUGCAAAAGAUCUUGAUACCUAUGGGUCAGCACCCAGCCAGACACAAAGGUUACUCAGUGUGGUAUGCUUACAGACAGUGCAAGCUGGCUCAUUAAUGUACUGUUUUUUUAUGUUUGUGUCUAUAUUUGAUGUCUUGGUGUUUGCUUUUUUAGUCUCCUCCAUCUACUAUGCAUAAUUGUUAGCUCAAAGGAAAUGUUAAAACACAAUUUUGGAGUCAGAAAAUUGAGAUCAUUAAAUUAAUCCCGUACCAGUAGCACUGGGUAAGACUACAUGCGUUUCUUCACCACUCAGGUACUUCGGCUGUUUGGUUUAUCUGAGGGGCUUCUUACACAGAUGGCAGACAAAACCUACAGAUCAUUUACUUAAGGCCUUGAGUCCAAUCAGUUCAAUUUCAGAAGUGGAACUCAUUUUGAAAUUUUUUAUUUUAAUUGGAUUUAAAUUCUGUGUUUCUGUGGACAAAUAUAAAAUAUAGACAAUGAACAACAUUUUUUCCUUUACAUUUAAUCAGACACUCUUAUCCUUAGUGACUCACAUAGAUUGCAUUCUUUUAACUUAUGAUCCAUUUAUACAGCUGGAUAUUUGCUGAAGCAAUUCAGGUUAUGUACCUUAGUUAAGGUUACAACAGCAGAACCGUGCCUAGGAAUCAAACCUAUAACCUUGGACCAUUAUACUAUACUGCCACCCUUAAGACUGAAUAUCAGACUGGAUAUAAAAAUAAUUUUCUCAA